rnacentral:piRNA from 1 species
UAUUUGAGAUGACUACAGGUUUUUAUUAUC